UUUAAGUAAUUACUUAUAUGCUAAGCAUGACAUGACAUUGCAUUUGCAUCAUGCAAUAAAAGUAUUUAUGAUUUAAUUGGUUUAUUUAUAAAUCCAAUUAUUAAAGAAAAUUGAGUAAGGAUAUUGUUGGUGUCCUUAGCUCAAAAGUUAGUUUUCAAUCUUUAUUAUUAAAUUUUGAGAACUCGGCGUGAUGAAUCAAAGAAUGUCUAGCACUUCCACUAUGACUUAAGAUAAGAUUAAGGAGACCUAUUAAGAAUAGAAUUUCCUGUAGGCUUUAUGAACCAAGGGGAUUAGCGCUGCUUUCUCAAGACGAGUUUAUGUGAUUAUGAUCUUCAGGCUUUGCCUAUCCAGGUUGGCUGGACGGUGCUGACGGGACUGAGUUGAGGCAAAGUUUCAAUUUCUAUAUAGACUUCCGCUGUUGUAAUAACUCUUAUACAUCUUUUGUUUUCUCAACUUAAGAUGACUUCAUGUCGAGCUUCAAUUUAAAAUUUCUAGUUUCAAGUCAAUGAACGUCGGUUGUCAGAAACAUGAAACAAAACUUGUGAUCCAAAGGGGCUUAGCCCGACUCGUUAUCUUAUUAUUCGGGUUUUAACAA